GAAUGCUGACAUAAGUAACGAUAAAGCGGGUGAAAAGCCCGCUCGCCGGAAGACCAAGGGUUCCUGUCCAACGUUAAUCGGGGCAGGGUGAGUCGACCCCUAAGGCGAGGCCGAAAGGCGUAGUCGAUGGGAAACGGGUUAAUAUUCCCGUACUUGGUGUUACUGCGAAGGGGGGACGGAGAAGGCUAUGUUGGCCGGGCGACGGUUGUCCCGGUUUAAGCGUGUAGGUGUGUGUUCCAGGUAAAUCCGGUUCACUUUAACACUGAGGCGUGACGACGAGGCACUACGGUGCUGAAGCAACAAAUGCCCUGCUUCCAGGAAAAGCCUCUAAGCAUCAGGUAACAUCAAAUCGUACCCCAAACCGACACAGGUGGUCAGGUAGAGAAUACCAAGGCGCUUGAGAGAACUCGGGUGAAGGAACUAGGCAAAAUGGUGCCGUAACUUCGGGAGAAGGCACGCUGACACGUAGGUGAAGUGAUUUACUCAUGGAGCUGAAGUCAGUCGAAGAUACCAGCUGGCUGCAACUGUUUAUUAAAAACACAGCACUGUGCAAACACGAAAGUGGACGUAUACGGUGUGACGCCUGCCCGGUGCCGGAAGGUUAAUUGAUGGGGUCAGCGCAAGCGAAGCUCCUGAUCGAAGCCCCGGUAAACGGCGGCCGUAACUAUAACGGUCCUAAGGUAGCGAAAUUCCUUGUCGGGUAAGUUCCGACCUGCACGAAUGGCGUAAUGAUGGCCAGGCUGUCUCCACCCGAGACUCAGUGAAAUUGAACUCGCUGUGAAGAUGCAGUGUACCCGCGGCAAGACGGAAAGACCCCGUGAACCUUUACUAUAGCUUGACACUGAACAUUGAGCCUUGAUGUGUAGGAUAGGUGGGAGGCUUUGAAGUGUGGACGCCAGUCUGCAUGGAGCCGACCUUGAAAUACCACCCUUUAAUGUUUGAUGUUCUAACGUGGACCCGUUACCCGGGUUGCGGACAGUGUCUGGUGGGUAGUUUGACUGGGGCGGUCUCCUCCUAAAGAGUAACGGAGGAGCACGAAGGUUGGCUAAUCCUGGUCGGACAUCAGGAGGUUAGUGCAAUGGCAUAAGCCAGCUUGACUGCGAGCGUGACGGCGCGAGCAGGUGCGAAAGCAGGUCAUAGUGAUCCGGUGGUUCUGAAUGGAAGGGCCAUCGCUCAACGGAUAAAAGGUACUCCGGGGAUAACAGGCUGAUACCGCCCAAGAGUUCAUAUCGACGGCGGUGUUUGGCACCUCGAUGUCGGCUCAUCACAUCCUGGGGCUGAAGUAGGUCCCAAGGGUAUGGCUGUUCGCCAUUUAAAGUGGUACGCGAGCUGGGUUUAGAACGUCGUGAGACAGUUCGGUCCCUAUCUGCCGUGGGCGCUGGAGAACUGAGGGGGGCUGCUCCUAGUACGAGAGGACCGGAGUGGACGCAUCACUGGUGUUCGGGUUGUCAUGCCAAUGGCACUGCCCGGUAGCUAAAUGCGGAAGAGAUAAGUGCUGAAAGCAUCUAAGCACGAAACUUGCCCCGAGAUGAGUUCUCCCUGAGACUUAAAGUCUCCUGAAGGAACGUUGAAGACGACGACGUUGAUAGGCCGGGUGUGUAAGCGCAGCGAUGCGUUGAGCUAACCGGUACUAAUGAACCGUGAG
rnacentral:rRNA from 1 species